rnacentral:rRNA from 1 species
AACGAACGCUGGCGGCAGGCCUAACACAUGCAAGUCGAGCGAGGACUUCGGUUCUAGCGGCGGACGGGUGAGUAACGCGUGGGAAUGUGCCCUUCUCUACGGAAUAGCCCUGGGAAACUGGGAGUAAUACCGUAUACGCCCUUUUGGGGAAAGAUUUAUCGGAGAAGGAUCAGCCCGCGUUGGAUUAGGUAGUUGAUGGGGUAAUGGCCUACCAAGCCGACGAUCCAUAGCUGGUUUGAGAGGAUGAUCAGCCACACUGGGACUGAGACACGGCCCAGACUCCUACGGGAGGCAGCAGUGGGGAAUCUUAGACAAUGGGGGCAACCCUGAUCUAGCCAUGCCGCGUGAGUGAUGAAGGCCUUAGGGUUGUAAAGCUCUUUCAGCUGGGAAGAUAAUGACGGUACCAGCAGAAGAAGCCCCGGCUAACUCCGUG